rnacentral:tRNA from 1 species
AGUUAACGUAGCAGAAUCUGGCACUGCAAAAGACCUAAACCCUUUCUAUAGAGGUUCAAAUCCUCUCGUUAACU